CACGGAGGAAGGUAAAACCCGUGUUUGGUGACCUGCAGCGCUCCUGAGGCUGUAAUUUAGCACCUGGCUGGAAUGGGAACAAGACUCGGAGAGCAGAAGCAUUAAAACAGUUUUCAGCCAGGACGUCACAAUACCAACACCAGGAAUUAGAUAUUCUAACUUUUGCACCGGACCAGAAACUCGUGUUUUAUGUGGAAAUAAACAUUUGGGCCAAGUUGUCCCUAACUAAUGUGUUUUGGGCAGCUUUGUUGUUUUUGUUUAAUGUAAAAUUGGUCUUACAAAGUCUUACAUUUAACUUGCUUUAAGCAGUAGGAACCCUGGGUAAGGAUGAUUGGUUCCUGAACAUUUGGUCCCCCUUUCUGGACUAUUUGCCAGAGGACCGAGGGAAUUUGCUUAGGAAGAGUAGAACUAAGUACUUUUCUGAGUAAACAACCCUCCUCACAGUGUCAAUAACCUAUUUGACUUAUUUAUUUAACCUCUUUGUUUGUUCCUACUCACUACCUGUGUAGUUCUGUCUGAUGUGGGUUGGUAUUGUGUUGUAUGUGUCAUUGUUCUCUGUGUAAACUCAAUAAAAAGGGUUUAAAAAAACACAA